AAUAUUGGACAAUGGUGGGAACCCUGAUCCAGCCAUGCCGCGUGUGUGAAGAAGGCCNNNUGGUUNUAAAGCACUUUAAGCGANGAGNAGGCUACUUAGAUUAAUACUCUAGGAUAGUGGACGUUACUCACAGAAUAAGCACUGGCUAACUCUGGGCCAUCAGCCGCGGUAAUACAGAGGGUGCAAGCGUUAAUCGGAUUUACUGGGCGUAAAGCGCGCGUAGGUGGCCGAUUAAGUCAAAUGUGAAAUCCCCGAGCUUAACUUGGGAAUUGCAUUCGAUACUGGUUGGCUAGAGUAUGGGAGAGGAUGGUAGAAUUCCAGGUGUAGCGGUGAAAUGCGUAGAGAUCUGGAGGAAUACCGAUGGCGAAGGCAGCCAUCUGGCCUAAUACUGACACUGAGGUGCGAAAGCGUGGGGAGCAAACAG
rnacentral:rRNA from 1 species